CAUUGCAUAAUCUGCUUGUCAACAUUAUGCAAAACCUCCAUCAAUUUCUUUGGCCUCACGUAGCAGAACAGGCCAUCACCGCCUUGUAAUUAGAGAGGAAAUUAAUUCAAAGUGGACCAUUUGUGGGCCAAAUGUCAGGCUCUUCAUGUGCUUCAACAACGACUAGAGUUAUGGCGUGGACUUUGGGUCAAUCCAGGGAUAGAGCAGGUGACAAGGAAUCAGUGAUUCCUUCAGCUUAUGGGGCUUAGCUGGAUCCCCAAUCCUAACCUCACUGUAGGGCUGAGCUGGAAGCCUAUGCUGAACCCCCAGAAGGCAGGACCUCCAAUCAGUUCCGCUGGGGAUUUAAUCAACCAUCGUGACGAGGUUGAUUAAUUAGGAAGAGCAGAUUUUAGCAAGGUGGAGGGAGUUAAAAUUAGGCUCGUUUCUUUUCUGCUAGCUUAGUUUUAAUGGGGGGAAUUUUCCUUUUAAUUAACGAGCUUCUCUUGUAGUUCCACCAAUGUCACUGCAUUUUAAUGUAGUUUUGUUAAUAUGUAGAUUCAGUGGCCUGUCAGUGAAAUACGGUUCGACUAAUUUGCAACUAUAUGAAACGGAAGAGAUUGCUCAGUAAAAAUAACACAGAGGCCUAAUCAAAGUUUAGGUCAAAGCAUAAUUGGGCUGGUAUCCUCGUGCCAGGGAUGUGGCGAUCGGACUUGCAGAGCCCAGAAGUUUUUCUUAAUCAUUCUUGGUUGGUGUUUCUAGGUCUCAACGUAGAGACGAAGACCGUGAUGGAUCUUUCCAAUUCUGCAGCGCUGCCCAAUUGGUCCUCCAGAGACCUGACCUAGUAGAAGAACUCUUCGAGAGGAAACAAAUCUCGGCCUCACUCCCCACUUUUGUGCUGAACCACUGGAAAUGAUUCCCUUUGCAAGUCCCCAGCUGGAUAAUAUAUUUAUUACCCGAGAUGGCUGAAUCUCUCUAACGUUGGCUUGGAAAAAAUUGAGUCACGUUUUGUGAUUAGUUCAGGGUAAUGUGGCUGAAAGAAGAGGAAAGGGGAAAAAAGCAAAGAUAAGUUUAGACGGUAGCGGCCGAAUGUACAUUUCUGAAUCAUGGGAAAGAGUGAUGACAUCCUACUUGGCAACUGCCUGAUUCCACCUUAUUUCCUAUAGCAACUUCUAUGCCCCUGACCUUAAGAAGGAUUAUCAUCUACUAAAAAAGUUUCAGAAA